ACUCCUCGAAUAAUACGUUUUCCUAACGUUAGAACCUUCCAGUUUAGAUCCUGUUGGCUGGGUGAGUGUGAGGUCAUCUGGGACCCUGUCCUGGCUUUUCUUUGCGUUCUUUUCCUCUUCCUUUCCUUCUCACUAAAGUUCCUGAGAAGGUAUGGGAGUGCGGGGGUGGGGGUGGGAGGCGCGCAGCAGGGUGGGGGCGCAGUUGGGACUGGUACCCCCAAAUUAGGGACUGCUCGCUUGGGUAGGGCAGCGCCAGCCCCACCCUACCCCACAGUGGGAAGCAAAGGUUUUUCGGUCCCCUGUUAGCGUUAGAGAGCACGUGUUUCCAGGUGCUAGUGGAGAGGGGCUGGGACCCGGAACUGAAGGUUGAGGGCAUCUUCCUUGGGUGUCUCACAGCCCCCAGAGCUGGGCUGGCGCCACUGUGCGCAGGCAAGGCUGCAGUUCAUCAACCCUGAACAUGACAAGAGGCGGGCAGCGUCCAGUUUCUUAAAGCCAGGAAGGAAAUUCUUUUAAAAUGCUGGGAAAAAUGUAAGAAUGUGUUCCCCCAAAGUAGGGUCAGGAGGUCCCAAAGGGGACCGGUGUCUCAUUGUGUGAAAUGAUCUCUAGAAAUUAGAAAUACGGACCUUGUGGGAGCCCAGGGAGGGAACCAAGGGAGGGCACCAAGGGAGGGCACCAAGGAUGGGAAUGAGUGCCGAGGAAAGGAGGUCGCAGUCUUGGGGGAAGAAGAGGAGCCAUUCGUUUUAAGUUAGGAGCAGAUCUGGUGCAUCUGAACCAGCCCUGGCGUGUAAGACAGUAAGGAACUGGCCCCAGCGUGUAAGACAGUAAGGAACCGUGGCAGUUACCACCCAUCAGUAACCAUGAGGAUCCCCAGUCACUGCACUCUUGGCACUUGUUUAUGUAAUCUUCAAUUCUCAGAAAAUGCUGCCGGAUAAUAUAUCAUAAUCUUGUUGUGUUCUCUGUGCAUCUCUCAGCCUCAGUUUUCUUUAUCUUUAAAACUGGAAUGCUCAUGGCUAUCUUCCAGUAUUGCUGGGAGAAUUGAAUUUAAGAAUAUCUCCACAUGCCUGGCAUCUAUGUUUGUGAAAUUAUUGUUGAAUGGAGCAGCAGAUAAGGAUAUGAAAGAUAUUUUUGAUCAAGUAUUUCAUUUGGCAGUUGUAUUGAGUGCUUGCCGCCUUCUGGCCUGAGACAAACAGAAACAAAAUAUAGCCUGAUUUUUGGAUGCUCACAAUGUAAUGGGAAAUAUAGACAAAAAAUUCAAUGAUCAGACAAAACGGUUAUUUAUUUAUUUAUUUAUUUUCUUUUUAGGGCUGCACCCGCAGCAUAUGGAGGUUCCCAGGAUAGGGAGCCGUAGCUGCUGGUCUGUGCCACAGCCACAGCAACGCCAGAUCCGAACCACGUCUGUGACCUACACCACAGUUCACAGCAACGCUGAAUCCCCAACCCACUGAGCGAGGCCAGGGAUCGAACCUCCGUCCUCAUGGAUACUAUUUAGAUUCGUUUCCUCUGAGCCACAAUGGGAACUCCACAAGGCAGUUAUUGAUUAGAAUUUAGUAUUAUAUAUUUUAGGUUAGGAUGUUAGAAACAUGCUUCUAAAACCAGGAGUCAUACGCGUGAACUCUUAAAAGGAGCAGGUGAGGAUUGGGGGGUGUGUGUGUGUGUGUGUGUGUGUGAAAAUUCUAUAUUGCCAGGAAAAUAUGCCUGUGGGAUGACACUGGACAGGCAGAAGCUAAAUCAUGUCAGCUUUCUAAGAAGUUUAAUUUUAUGCUAAGGUAAUGGGGAGCCUUUGUGGGAUUUUAUGGAAGACGUACUCUGUUCGGAUUUCUGGUUUAGAAACACUCCAUAGGCAAUGGUGCGGAAGAGAGAGGCGCAAUAUCAGAUGCAGGGGGAGUUCGGAACUAGGACGAGGGAGUAUAAAAAUAGUCCUUUGAAAUAGCUCUGGGGGCAGAUGCUGAGCCCAGAUUUUCUGGCUUCCCAUUUUCUAGCUUUAUGGCCAUGGACAAUUUACCUGGCCUCUUGGCAUCUCAGUUUUCUCAUCUGUGAAAUGGGGAUAAAGACAGCAAGUACCUCAUAGGAUUGAUGUGACAACUGAAAGAGUUAAUAGACACAGAAAACAGCACAAUGUCUGCCACAUGAGGGUCCAAAUAAAUGUUAGUUUGUUGUUGCCGAUAUUGUUAUUAUUAAUGUGUUAGUGCAAAGAGACAUGACGCGUGUCUGAGCUGAGGCGGGGGCCUUGGAGAGAGAAGGACGGAGAUGGUGUCAAGGAAAUGACAUUGAAAGGUCUUCCUAACAGAAUGUGUAGAGGUGGAUUUAAAAGCAAUGGCAGGGCAGAGGGCCUGUUUGAACUCACCGUGUGGGUGAGGGAGGGCUGGAUUCAAAGCUGCUCCGGGUGACAUUCUUCCUUUUCGUUGUUUUAGACUAGGUUGCACUGUUGCUGCCAUCCUGAACGUCCUUGUCUACCUUCUGGGCUCAGAUUCUCAUCCACCAACACAGGUGUACAAGAAAUGGACAGGGCUUUCUCCUCCUCUAGCUCAACCCACGUUCUGUUGUCGCGCCUCCCCCUGGGAUGGCAGAAACAUAAUUUCAGUUAAAUUGGCAUUUCUCCUUCCUUUUCCCACAGUAGUGCCUGUGUUCUAGGAGUGGCGGGGUGUGAGGUUGGCAUCAUCGGGCCACACUGACAUCUUCUGGGGCCACUGUCACCUCAGUGGAUGCUCAGUCAGCUCCCAGGCUCAUUCCUAAAGCCCCCUGUGGUUCGGGCUCUUCCUCUGGGGCAGCAGCUCUCAUUCUGCUGCUCGGUCAGGUGUUGCCAGGACACGCUGGGGAAUGGAAAACCCUGGAAGAUGUCAGAGUCACUGGGUACCCUCUUGGACACAAUGAGGGCAUCCCGUGGUUUCUCUACCACCUUGGGGAUGUGGGCAAGGCUGUUGAAGGUGCUCGUUCUCCCCCAGGCUCUUCCCACCCGCAGGACUUCACCUCCACUCUUGCUUCUCCUAAAUCCCGUAGAUUCCCGCAGAUCUCAAUUCAGCUUGCGGGAUGGGGCGAGGAAGUGCAGACGCCCUUCUCCCAAGGACCCCAAGCUUCUGCGCUCUUGUCUUUUCCUCUCAGCUCUGCUCUCCUUCCACCCUCCAGGCCUGAAGGCAGGUUCUUAUUUUCUUUUAUAUUUUUUUUUCAGAUUUUUUUCCAUUACAGGUUAUGACAAGAUACUGACUCUGUGUCCCUGUGCUAUACCGUAAAUCCUCACUGCUUAUCUCCUUUAUGCAGAGUAGUUUGUACCUGCUAAUCCCAUACUCCUAAUUUAUCCCGCCCUGCCUCCCUUGGGCGAUCACAAGUUUGUUUUCUAGGUGCCAGCUGCUGAUUUUUGUUUCUUUUCUUCUUUUUCUUUUUUUCUGAAAACUGCUGGGUGUCUGUUCAGUUCCCCCCAGGGCCCAGGUUUUGAAACUUAAAAGCUACGAGUCUCUUUUUAAAUCUGCUUUCUUCUGUAACAGCCCUUCCCAGAGGCGACGAGGGAGGGAAAGUUUUAAAAGCUGGGACAGGGUCAAAGAAAAAUAAUCUGUGAAUUCUUCACAGAUAUUAUUCCAGCACAUCUUAAACAGAGUCAUCCGGCGAUAACCUGCCAUCGCUUUUGUCUUUAGUCUUUGAAAGUCUUUUAUCUUCCCUCUAGUUGACAGAUAUGUUGUGUGUAAUUUUGGUGGUCAUGUGAUUGAUGGAUGCUGGACGUGUAGGCAAGUGCUGGAUAUCCCUGAUGCAGAAAUCUCUCAAAGGGACGAUGAAGACACCAGUUUAUGCCUCAUUUCUUCAUGUGCCAUCUGGCUAGUGCCCCCUUUUUCCUCUCAAAACUGUCAUGGUUUGGACAAUAAGUUAUGUGGUUACCCUCUUUCUAGUUUAUAGAAGCUUGUUAAAAUAUUCCCCUUCGAAGCUAGGCUAGAGACACCGAAAGCCUUAAUUACCCAAGGUUUUUCUGAAUGUCAAAGUCAGUGCAGUCAACUCAAGAGUCAGAGAUUGAGAAGGAUCUUUUGUUUGCUUGUUUGUUUGUUUGUUUUGGGGCCACACCUCUGGCAUUUGGAAGUUCCCAGCCUAGGGGUCAAAUCAGAGCUGCAGCUGCCACAGCUACAGCAACGUGGGAUCCCAGUCGGCAUCUGUGACCUACACCAUGGCUCAUGGCAGUGCCGGAUCCUUAACCCACUGAAUGGAGCCAGGGAUCGAACCCGUAUCCUCACGGAUACCAGUGGAGUUCAUUACCAUUGAGCCACAACCGGAACCCCUGGAUCUUUGUUUUUAAAUCUAGGAUGACGUAAGACAAUGGAUACUUUGAUAUAAACAUCAUAAUUGCAAUAUGUAUAUAAAUAAGUGUGUGUUAUUUAGUUAUUUCACCUUUUGUUUCAUGAUCCACAUUUAUCACUGUGGUUUUAUAAACUUUUGUCCUUUCAGCUUGUUUCAAAGAGCAUCUCAAAUCAUCAGUGGUUCUACGCUUUGUAUCAAGGUAGAGUUCUUAAUUAUCCAUGAGUAGAAUACAAAUAUAUGCCCCCAGAUAAAACCCUCCUUUCAAACACUCUGUGAUCGUCCACUAAGACAAUUUCUAGUCAAAUUACCAGACUUGGAUAUGUUUUCCAUAGAUAGCAUAUAUGUCUGUGUGUUUGUAUCCCAUGAAGCUGAUUCAAUUCCGAAAAGACCCGACGCCACGGUGAUUUCCAGGAAACACAGAUCCCCUGCCCUUGGCCCUGCUCCCUGAAGCACCUCUUACCUUUUGAAGAGUUGGCAGGGAUGCUCAGGGAGUCAGCAGGUCAACCAGUCGUCCUAGAACCUAAUGAACUCACUCUAUGGCUUAGAAUAACCCUGCCUUCUUUCAUUUCUUCUUGUUGCUGGAAGGUUGUCCCUGGAAACCUUUACUGUCAUGUAUGGAAUGCUGUUUUUCAGCUUUCUUCUUAGGAAAUGUAGUUCUUUUAUUUUCAUUAAUAAAUAAACUUUUUUGU
rnacentral:lncRNA from 1 species